ensembl:misc_RNA Y_RNA Y RNA
GGCUGGUCCGAUGGUAGUGGGUUAUCAGAACUUAUUAUACAAAAAAAAAAGAAUUUAUUAUACAACCCCCCACACUGAUAAAUUUGACUGGCUUAAA